rnacentral:rRNA from 1 species
GAUGAACGCUAGCGACAGGCUUAACACAUGCAAGUCGAGGGGCAGCACAGCUAGCAAUACCGGGUGGCGACCGGCGCACGGGUGAGUAACGCGUAUGCAACUUACCUAUCAGAGGGGGAUAACCCGGCGAAAGUCGGACUAAUACCGCAUGAAGCAGGGGCCCCGCAUGGGGAUAUUUGCUAAAGAUUCAUCGCUGAUAGAUAGGCAUGCGUUCCAUUAGGCAGUUGGCGGGGUAACGACCCACCAACCGACGAUGGAUAGGGGUUCUGAGAGGAAGUCCCCCCACAUUGGUACUGGAGACACGGACCAAACUCCGUACGGGAGCAGCAGU